rnacentral:lncRNA from 7 species
ACAGUAUGCAUCCCAUGAAACUUAUAUCCAGUUUGGAGUGAUCUGUGCCCUCUCUAUUUCUGAUCUCUCUGACUAUGUUUAAUCCAUAUCUAAUACAACCAUCAGAUCACCAACCACUCUCAAUAGCCAUACUCGUAGCUGCUAAUCCUAUUCUCUCAUAUUUCUUAACCAAGUUCUGUCGCUUGCAUCAGCUUUUUUUGUCUGUUUCGUGCAAAACAUUAUUAUAUGUUUUAGAAACUGGUUGGGAAAUAGCGCCAAGAGAACAAUUUCCUUUCUUCGGACCAUAUGCUGUAAUUCUUCUUGAUCUUCCAGUUUAAUUUGAACUAUGGGUACCCUAUUAUAUAAAUUUGGUUUCUGAUCGAGUUAAUGAAAUGUUUGUGGCAGUACAUAUGCCCUGAUGUGCAUUUGAAGCAGAAAAUAGGUGCAUUUUGAAAUACGUUCUGAUAUUAUAUUUUAUGAUGAAAACAAUACUCAGAACAUAAAUUUUAUACAUCUG